CAAUAGCGUAUAUUAAAGUUGUUGCAGUUAGAACGCUCGUAGUCGGAUUUCGGGGCGUUCCGACCGGUCUGCCGAUGGGUAUGCACUGGCCGGAGUGUCCUUCCUUCCGGAGACCGUUCCUACUCUUAACUGAGCGGGGGCGGGAGACGGAUCGUUUACUUUGAAAAAAUCAGAGUGUUUCAAGCAGGCAGCUCGCUCUUGCAUUGAUUAGCAUGGGAUAAUGAAAUAGGACUUUGGUGCUAUUUUGUUGGUUUCGAACACCGAAGUAAUGAUUAAAAGGGACAGUCAGGGGCACUCGUAUUCCGCCGAGAGAGGUGAAAUUCUCAGACCAGCGGAAGACGAACCACUGCGAAAGCAUUUGCCAGGGAUGUUUNCACUGA
rnacentral:rRNA from 1 species